rfam:Pseudomonas batumici strain TCM B-321 Contig_50, whole genome shotgun sequence.
UAAUAUGGCGGCUGUGUGCGGGGCAUCCUCGGGUGCGCCGGAUUCCUAUAUCUCCGGUCUGUCAACCCGCACACAACUGCCACCCUC